rnacentral:rRNA from 1 species
GCGUAGUAGUAAAACCCUCGUUACUGGUAAUCGUCGCGGCCACGCCGUUAAACCCCAACUUCUGAAUGUUGACCUCGGAUCAGGUAGGAAUACCCGCUGAACUUAA